rnacentral:rRNA from 1 species
AUGGUGGUCGAUGCCCUUGCCGUCAUCCUAGAUAAGGCCAAAUCUGCUGGCCAUAUCCAUGGUGUAGUUCCCCACCUGGUAGGAGGGGGAGGGGUCUCCCUCCUACAAUACACAGAUGACACCAUAGUAAUGGUGGAGGUCUCUGCAUCUGACAUCGCUAACCUGAAGUUUGUCCUCCUCUACUUCCAACAAAUGUCCGGGCUCACGAUCAACUUCGACAAGAGCGAAGUGAUGAUUCUGGGCUACUCCCCUGAGGAAGCCCAAGCCAUGGCCGACCGACUGAACUGUCGGCUGGGUACUUUCCCCACCUCUUACUUGAAGAUACCCAUUGGUGACUCGAGACUGACCGUGGCCGACCUCCGCCCGGCGGUGACUUGAAUGCAGCAUCGGGUGGAGCCGUGGAAGGGUAGGUGGCUCUCGAAGGCUUCCAGGGUGAUCCUCAUCAACUCCUCACUGUCUAGCCUCCUAUGGUUCCUCAUGAGCUUUUAUAGCCUUCAUGAGACCCUGCAUCAGGAGAUAGGCAAGUACCAGUCCAGGUUUUUUUGGGCGGGCGAGGGCGAGAAGCAGAAAUACCAUAUGGUGAGUUGGCCUGACAUCUGCAAGCCCAAGGACCAGGGAGGUCUUGGGAUCUUGUCUUCUCGACACAUGAACAUCGCUCUCCUGAACCCACUGGCUCCAGAGAAUCGCCAAUGGGGAUGGGGACUCUGGCUAACCAUCAUCCGAAAUAAAUACCUUUGUGGUCAACCUCUAGCCUUCUGCCAGCGCUUCGGUGGCUCCCAGUUCUGGCAGGCUAUAAUCCAGCUACUUCUCGUCCUCCGAAUUGGCACAUCCAUUUCGGUUGGCUCCGGUUCCGCAAUGUUGUUCUGGUUCGAUCGUUGGGUGGGGGACUCUCCCCUGGUCGCCCGAUUCCCAAAAUUAUUCUCCAUCGUGGUUGACCCUCGGGUCUUCGUCAAGACGACCCUUAUUGACUUAGGGCGGCUCACUUUUUGA